UACGUAGGGGGCUAGCGUUGUCCGGAAUUACUGGGCGUAAAGGGUGCGUAGGCGGUUGUUUAAGUCUGUCGUGAAAUCCCCGGGCUCAACCUGGGAAUGGCGAUGGAUACUGGACAGCUAGAGUGUGUCAGAGGAUGGUGGAAUUCCCGGUGUAGCGGUGAAAUGCGUAGAGAUGUGGAGGAACACCAGUGGCGAAGGCGACUUUCUGGUCUGUAACUGACGCUGAGGCGCGAAAGCGUGGGGAGCAAACAGG
rnacentral:rRNA from 1 species